GACGAACGCUGGCGGCGUGCUUAACACAUGCAAGUCGAACGAUGAAGUUCCUUCGGGAAUGGAUUAGUGGCGAACGGGUGAGAAACACGUGAGAAACCUGCCUUUCAUUUUGGGAUAACUCCGGGAAACCGGAGCUAACACCGAAUACUCCGUCUCGGCGGCAUCGCUGAGCCGGGAAAAAAUUAUGAUGAAAGAUGGUCUCGCGGCCUAUCAGCUAGUUGGUGAGGUAAUGGCUCACCAUGGCGACGACGGGUAGCCGGCCUGAGAGGGCGGCCGGCCACACUGGGACUGAGACACGGCCCAGACUCCUACGGGAGGCAGCAGUGGGGAAUAUCGGGCAAUGGGCGCAAGCCUGACCCAGCGACGCCGCGUGAGGGAUGAAGGCCUUCGGGUUGUAAACCUCUUUUCUCAAGGAGGAAGAUCUGACGUUACUUGAGGAAUAAGCAUCGGCUAACCCUGUGCCAGCCGCCGCGGUAA
rnacentral:rRNA from 1 species